UGGAAGCAGCCACGGCGGGAUGGUCGUGGUGGGGGACUGAGAGGUGGUUGCCCGGGAUGAUAUGCCCCUCCUCGCAACCAGGACGAUCAGGCCCAGGUCGAGGGAGACGUCCUCGACUCCCACAUUGGCAUCUGAAGGUUCAUAGCUCAUCGGAGGAGGAGGAGCUCAAGGGAGCGAAGUGUUGGUACUGGAAGGCGGCUUCGGAGGGGAAGCAUGAGGAGGUGGAACAAUUGCAGCCUAAUGAUCAUGAUGACGGCGACAAGGAGAAUGUGUCGUAUGGUGAUCAGCUGACUGAGCAGGCCUCAAAUCGGCAAGAUGAAAACAUGAAGCAGUUGGAGAACAAUGAGAAUGCUCCUGAAAAGGUUGUUGAAAGGCAGAACAAGGUGAAUGCAGAGCAAGGGGAAAGCUCAAGGGAACCAUUCAUAGGCCAUUUAGAGUGAGGAUCAAUGAAAGACAAGUGUUGAAAGAAACAAAGCCAGAAAGAAAACAAGACUGGCCGAGAAGAACACCAUGCAGUACUGAAGGAUGAAAAUAGACAAGUGAUGCAAACUGGAAGAUGUCCUGAUGGAAAGGGACGAGAUAAACUG